rnacentral:tRNA from 1 species
CGGGAAGUAGCUCAGUUUGGUAGAGCACUUGGUUUGGGACCAAGGGGUCGCAGGUUCGAAUCCUGUCUGCCCGA